UACGGAGGGGGCUAGCGUUGUUCGGAAUUACUGGGCGUAAAGCGUACGUAGGCGGCUUUGUAAGUUAGAGGUGAAAGCCCAGGGCUUAACCCUGGAACUGCCUUUAAGACUGCAGAGCUUGAAUCGCGGAGAGGUGAGUGGAAUUCCGAGUGUAGAGGUGAAAUUCGUAGAUAUUCGGAAGAACACCAGUGGCGAAGGCGGCUCACUGGACGCGUAUUGACGCUGAGGUACGAAAGCGUGGGGAGCAAACAGG
rnacentral:rRNA from 1 species